CGCACACAGACGUCGCCGCGGCCCGCGCUCGCAGGGGCAGGUCCGGGCUGCCGGCCGCGAGGGAAGAGCCGGGGCCGGAGAAGGGGCUCUGUCUACGCCCCGCAGUCCGAGGGGCAGCCGCUGGGCAUCGGCCACUCAAAGAUUUAUUUGAAGGCAGAAUGAUGGAGAGAGGGAGAGAGAGAUCUUCCAUCUGCUUUGCUAGGUGGAAGCCAGGAGCCUGGAACUCCAUCUGGGUCUCCCAGCUCCACUACAUACCCCCAGGGAAGUACUGACAAAGUGGGAGCUGCCUGAGAGGUGGUGAUGCUCCCAUCUUACUGCUGCCAGCGGUCAGUACAGACUUUUAAAAGACCAGAGUGGGAGCAGUUUCACUCUACUUCUUCUGGAACUGGAGCAUUCUAUAUCCAUCAGCAAGUUUUUUAUAAUCUUACCCACAUUCAAUUAAAUAUACAAUUGGGGUACUGGUUUUGUAAUGAAUCAUGCCAGAAGGAAAUAUAGAUGAGGCAGUACAUCUUUCAAAAAGUUUGGCCUAGCGAGCAGUAGGGAGCCAGGGAUCGAUAAUUCCAUUGUUUAGGAUCGGUGUAAGCUGUCACAGGAAACCCAAAAUGAAAGUGGCUUUGAUAGGUUUAUUUCGCUUUCAUAAGCAGCUACUUAAUUUGGUCAUGAGACCCAAGUUCCUUCUUAUUCUUUCAUACUCAAAACAUGGCUUCCACCUCCUGUUCUAAGGUAGUUGCUCUGGUAUUAGGUUGAUAUACUAGCCUUUGGGAGGAGAUAAAGGGACAGCACAGGGUCCCACUCCAAUCUCACCUCUGGAGGAUUUUUUCCCCCAGAUGAUCACAUUCUAAGGUAAAAAUCCUGUGUCCUGGGUCCAUAGAGGAAAGGGGGAAGUCUUGGCAGUCUCUUUGCUAAUGAUGCUGAAACAAAACAUGACAGUCACUGGUUCUGUGACUAUAGACAGGGGAUAUCACUGGAGAAUUUAAUCAAGGAAUUGUUGCACUGGUGAAGGAAAUGCUGAAAGUAUAGGCAACCCAGAGGUUGUAGCAGAAGGAACCUCUACCGAGUGCCAGAUGGACAGUGCAGGAGACAGUGUCAGCAGAACCUGAGAGUCUGGACCAUCCAGGGGAUGGCCAUGGCAGAGCUGUCAGCCAACCCAAGGCAGAGAGAAAUGCCCUGGGUUUUCCCCUCCUCAUGCCCUUCAGGCAUGGGAAGUCAGUCAAAGCAAAUCCGGGGAACAUGGCUCCUUACAGAGAGCAGAGAGAAAAAUGGCUAAUGGGCAGCACAAAGUGAAGUUUUGGGCAUGAGUAGAGGAGCAGUGAACCAUGGUGGCUUCAUAACCAUAACUUCCCUGAGCAAGGAGUACAUGGAGAGAAGACUAAAGCCUCUCAAACAAAAAUCUGUUUUCAUGUAGCUGACUACAGUACAUAUUUCUUUCUUACCAUUGGAAAAGGUCAAGGAAUGCUUCCACAGAGAUUUAUUUCAGUUUUUUUUACCAUAAUGAACAAGACCUUGGUAUUUCAGCACAUCAGAGGAUUUGAGGUCAGGAUUUUAGUAUUUGAACCCUAUUAGUAUCUGCUUUGUAAUCCUGACCAAGGAGGUUUUAACUGUAAGGAAUGGUAGCCAAUGGGAAAAAAAGUACCACUUUUAAAAAAUACUUUCAUACAACAGCCUGACUGCAGUAGUUCCCAGGUAAGCUGUGAUAGAACAACUUGUUUUCCAUCAUCCCCAUCUACCAUGCCCUACCCUUAAUAGGAACCACCUGGCUUCAAGUGGGAAACUGGACUUGGCUCUUCAAAUAAAUCAAUCUCAAAAAAAAAAAAAAAAA